rnacentral:misc_RNA from 1 species
GACCCUCUCGACAGCGUUCAAGAUUAUUGUAUUUAAUGCCAGCUACUUCACCCGUGGAAAAGCUACCAUCGUUGCCAUGCUUACAGCCAGAGUCAGUUUGAUAGAGCAUCAUGUUUUCCUUGUCUGUAUCUUUUUUUGCAUAAUAGCCACCUUUUUCCUUAUCUAAAUUAUAGAACUUACUGUCCACUUUCGAGAUCUUCCAAUCUUGAGCACUGUUUCCUGCCCCCUCUUUCACAAUUAAGUUACCCUUAGAUGAUUCAUCCACCUCAUGACACUCAAAUUAAAUGCAAGCCUGAAUCUUCACUGAAACGCCUACUGAAACUUCUUUUGCAUUU